CGAUUAGACUUCAACUAGCUCACUGUCUACUAUAAGACUUGCCGCAGUGCCGCAAUCGGCGACUUUAUUGUCUCAACUUUUGUUUCUUCGUCCUGUCGUUGGCUAGAGCAGCUGAAAAGUCACGUCGUUCGAUAUGCCCGCCUAUGAUUUUAUACAGAUUUCAUAGAAAAGAAACAUCGUUGUGCGACAAAAAGUCGCCCAUGUGCGGCCAGCCUAAAUACUAUGAAUACCUGUGAAUACGUUGUACCUACUAUGGAUUUAU